rnacentral:rRNA from 1 species
UACGUAGGGAGCAAGCGUUGUCCGGAAUUACUGGGCGUAAAGGGUGCGUAGGCGGCUUGGUAAGUCAGAUGUGAAAUACCCGCGCUUAACAUGGGGGGUGCAUCUGAUACUGUCAGGCUUGAGUGCAGGAGAGGAAAGCGGAAUUCCUAGUGUAGCGGUGAAAUGCAUAGAUAUUAGGAGGAACACCAGUGGCGAAGGCGGCUUUCUGGACUGUAACUGACGCUGAGGCACGAAAGCGUGGGGAGCAAACAGG